UACGUAGGGUGCAAGCGUUAAUCGGAAUUACUGGGCGUAAAGCGUGCGCAGGCGGCUUCGCAAGUCAGGCGUGAAAUCCCCGGGCUUAACCUGGGAAUGGCGUCUGAAACUACGGAGCUGGAGUGUGGCAGAGGGAGGUAGAAUUCCACGUGUAGCGGUGAAAUGCGUAGAUAUGUGGAGGAAUACCGAUGGCGAAGGCAGCCUCCUGGGCCAGCACUGACGCUCAUGCACGAAAGCGUGGGGAGCAAACAGG
rnacentral:rRNA from 1 species